rnacentral:rRNA from 1 species
GACGAACGCUGGCGGCGUGCCUAAUACAUGCAAGUAGAACGCUGAAGGAGGAGCUUGCUUCUCCGGAUGAGUUGCGAACGGGUGAGUAACGCGUAGGUAACCUGCCUGGUAGCGGGGGAUAACUAUUGGAAACGAUAGCUAAUACCGCAUAAGAGUAGAUGUCGCAUGACAUUUGCUUAAAAGGUGCAACUGCACCACUACCAGAUGGACCUGCGUUGUAUUAGCUAGUUGGUGAGGUAACGGCUCACCAAGGCAACGAUACAUAGCCGACCUGAGAGGGUGAUCGGCCACACUGGGACUGAGACACGGCCCAGACUCCUACGGGAGGCAGCAGUAGGGAAUCGUCGGCAAUGGACGGAAGUCUGACCGAGCAACGCCGCGUGAGGGAAGAAGGUUUUCGGAUCGGAAAGCUCUGUUGUAAGAGAAGAACGAGUGUGAGAGUGGAAAGUUCACACUGUGACGGUAUCUGACCAGAAAGGGACGGCUAACUACGUG